GAUAUUAAAUUAUCCCACAUAAGGAUAUCUUACAUUACACAAUACGCACCCACCCCUUGAAAAUAUGCGCCAGACAAUCUUUCCUAAGACUACAUCAGUAAGCCUUACUGAAGAUCAGUUGAGGAAAAUUUUCAUGCAAUUCGACGUCGAUCACGACAGUGUUCUCAGCAGAGAUGAGAUAAAGAAAGCUUUCGACUACCUUGGCGCAUGGUUUCCUGGCUACAGGGCCAAUCGUGGGAUCAACUAUGCUGAUGCCAAUAGAGAUGGAGUGGUCGACCUGAGCGAGUUGGAUGAUCUCGUCAGUUACGCUCAUAAACUUGGGUAUUCCAUCAAGUAGUACUUGUGAGCUGGAAAUUUUACAGUACAUAAAAUAAAGGGUUGUGUGUGCAGCCAUAAACUUACUUAGUUGCUAUCUACAUGCGAUGUUCACUGGCUAGCAGGUUUUAUCUUAUUUUAUGUUGUAAUAUUAACUCUGAAGAGGAUAAUCCUCAUAUUAAUUAAAUAUGUUUCCCUUAAAA
rnacentral:misc_RNA from 1 species